AUUACUCUGACUAUGGCAGCUUCCAUAGAAUCUUUGGUGUUAUGGGUAUGUUCAUUGACCUCUCUCUCAACAACGCUCCACAUGUAAUAGUCCAAUGGAUUGAGAUCUGGGAAAUUACAAGGCCAAAUGUUAAGGGUUAUGUUAUCAGGAAAAUUUUCAGCCAUUCAUUCCUGUGUGAUAUUGCAAAGUCUUACUGAAACACAUAUGGCCUUCCAUUGUAUACGCUGUCUAUCCAGGACUUAAUUAUUUCCAGGACCUCAAUGUAGGUGGCAGAGUUAACUCUAAGGGUUUGUGGAAAGAAGUAAGGAGGCAUCACAUGUCCUUCAUUGCUGACAACCCCUAAAACUCUGACAGUUGCAGGAAAUUUUGUAUGCAUAACACUUGGAACUUUAGAAGGGUCUGCACUUAACCAUGUGUCAUUUCUUCUUGUACAAAGAUUCGAA